UACGUAGGGGGCAAGCGUUGUCCGGAAUCAUUGGGCGUAAAGAGCGUGUAGGCGGCCAGAAAAGUCCGCUGUGAAAACUCGAGGCUCAACUUCGAGCUGUCGGUGGAAACUUUCUGGCUAGAGUCCGGAAGAGGAGAAUGGAAUUCCUGGUGUAGCGGUGAAAUGCGCAGAUAUCAGGAAGAACACCCGUGGCGAAGGCGGUUCUCUGGGACGGUACUGACGCUGAGACGCGAGAGCGUGGGGAGCGAACAGG
rnacentral:rRNA from 1 species